GAGCUCCAGAGGUGCCAACAUGCCCGUCAGGGGGUUCAGAAGGUGCCUGGGGGGAAAUGCCUGCAGCACGUGGCAGUUCCAUCCUCUCUCUGCCCUGUCUGCCUGAGCUUCGUGACACGGAGGGGAUUGAUGGUUCCUAAAUGUCCACUCAGGGGUUUGGGUUUCGUGGCCUCAAUCUGCAACAGCCACUGAAACAUCCAAGAUGAAAAAUUGAAGCUGGAAGAUGAAGUCAUUUUCCAAAAACUAUAUCAGGU